AAAUUAAAUUUUACUUGUUUUUUUUGUUUAUUUUUAUUUUAUUUAAAUAUAAAAUUUUUAUUAUUUAUUUUGAAAAAAUUUUUUUCGUGAUAGUUUAUUUGUAUUGAAAAAGAAUGAUAAUAUUUAUUUAAAAGAAAAAUUGAUUUUUUGUACCUUGUGUAUCAGGGUUAAUUAAAUUAAAAUUUAAAUUGAAUUAAUCCCGGUUCAAGAGGAGCUAAUUUUAAAUGCUUUUAGUGUAUUAUAACUAUUGUUAAUUUGGGAUUAGUAAUGAAACGUUAUUCGUUUCUUGAUAUAUCUGGUUUCUUAAGAAAUGAAUUGAAUUUAUUAAUUAUUUAAUAAGAAUUUAAGUUUUUAGAUUUUUAUUAUUAAUUUUAAAUAUUAGUAGGGAUGAGCUUAUUAAUAGAUUAUUAUUUGUUAUAUUUUAUCUUUUUUUUUGUAGGAUUAAAAUUUUCUAUCAUUUUAAUAAUUUUAUAGUUAUUUCAUUAUUAUCUAUGAUUUUAUUUACAAUAAUUUUUAUAUUAAGAUAUAAAAAUUAAUUUAUUUAUUUUAUAAAUUAUGAUUAAAUUAGUAUAUUUUUAUGUGUUUCGUGUGUAAUUAUGUAGAUAAAUUAAAGGAAUUCGGCAAAUGGAGUUUUUCACCUGUUUAUUAAAAACAUGUCUUUUUGAUUAUUAUUUAAAGUCUGGCCUGCCCAAUGAGUAAUUGAAUGGCUGCAGUAUCUUGACUGUACUAAGGUAGCAUAAUCAUUUGCUUUUUAAUUAAGAGCUAGUAUGAAGGGUUUGAUGAAAAAAUGACUGUCUCUGUUUAUAAAUAUAGAAUUUUAUUUUUGAGUUAAAAGGCUUAAAUGUUUUUAAAAGACGAGAAGACCCUAUAGAGUUUUAUUAAUUUAUUAAUUUUAUUUAUUAGUUUUAUAUUUUUUAUAAUUGAUUGAUUAAUUUGGUUGGGGUGAUUUUAAAAUUUAUUUAACUUUUAAAGAUUUAUUACACUAAUAAGUGGUUUGAAUUGAUCCAGUAUAUGCUGAUUAAUAGAAUAAAUUACCUUAGGGAUAACAGCGUUAUCUUUUUUUAGAGUUCAAAUCAAUAAAAAGGAUUGCGACCUCGAUGUUGGAUUAAAAUUAACUUUUAGGUGCAGAAGCUUGAAAGUUAGGUCUGUUCGACCUUUAAAAUUUUACAUGAUCUGAGUUUAGACCGGCGUGAGCCAGGUUGGUUUCUAUCUUUAAUUAGAAUAGAAGAUUUAGUACGAAAGGACCAAUUUUUUGAUUAAAAAUUUAAUUUUGAAUUUUACU
rnacentral:rRNA from 1 species